rnacentral:lncRNA from 1 species
GUAGGUUUUAGCAAAGCCAUUAUUGCCAAGGUAUAGAUACCAAAGGCGGUGGUAACCAAACCCCAAACAGAACGGAUUUUUUUCCUCUGCGGCCCCCAAAGGUUGCUUUUUAUAUUUACGUAUGCGUAUAUGUAUAUAUAAAAGAUGGAACACAGAUUUCAUUGAAUCAAUCUGAGAUCUCCAGGUGCAGACGUUUGAAUAGUCGGUGCCAGCACCCCGUGUUUUCCUUUCCUGCCGAUUUUGCUUGGAUCCGGCUCAAAAACCGAGAGAGUCUCGUGGUUUUGUUUACACUGAAUGGGGAGGAUAGGAACAGAGCCAUGGGGCCGCCUUUCAUUAAUAUACAGUGAGGAUUUUGUCUAAAUUACUGCUAUGAAUUUCACAGUACACGCUUUCAAAAGCAGUCUCAGGUGGCCUGAUGAAACGUGAUAGCGCCUCUGCAAACAGAUCCACUUUCUUUCUUUUCAAGAGGGUGUGUGUGCGCGUAUGGGAAGCCCCCCAAAACGUUGUGCUCCUCGAUAACAGAAACACACUUCUGUUCCGAGGUCUGUCCCCUUCUUCCUCCCCCCCUUUCGUCGUACUUAAUUCUCGAAUCGCUCCCCGGCCUCUCUCCCCCCUCCACGCUGCCCCACCCCAUCCGCCCCCUCCCUUUGCGAGUGUGAUUGUUUUGUCUGGAAAAAAAAAAUCCAAAGUAUAUAACAAGGGGAGAACAGUUAGUGCUGAUUUUCAUUUGCAUACAUUUUCAUAUAUUUUGGUGAAAAUAAUAGACUAGUGGAGAGCUGGGCUUCGAGGCGUCAGUGUGAAGGGAAGGCUAAGGACGCAUCGGUGCUGGAGAGUUGAGAAUAUGCCUUCCCCUCCACCCCCAACCCAGUCACCUUAUUUGAAAAAAAAUUAAAAAACACCUUUUAUUUAAAAACCUAACCCUGGAAGUUUGCUCGCUGCCUGAAAAUCAUAUGCGUGGUUUUUCCUGUUUCCUGCUCUGUAGCUGACAUCAGGGGAGCAACGUGAACACAGGAAAAUGGAAAUCAACAUUUGAAACUUUUAAAUGGAAGCUUUAUUGGGGUUCCACAUAUGGAAAACUGCAAAUAGCAGAAGUAUGUGACUCAAUAAAUUAUUCUGGAGUGACCACAUCCUCUAACUGCCUCCCAGGACAAGACGGAGAAUGUGAACAAUGCUCCUGAAGGCCCCUUUCCCUCAAAGAAUCACUGCAAUUGAAGGAAAAAUGCUCCAUGUCCCCUCUGCCAGUUGGUGUUUAUCAAAGGACAACGGAGGAAGAGAGACAAAGUGCCUGGAUGUGUGUGUUAAUCAAGAGUUGUCAGGACCCUGCCUCUAAAAGAAAGCGCUAAAAUGAUGCUUUUGACAAGACUUUUCUCAAAGUGGAUGCAGUCUAAGGGUUGGAAAACAAGGCCCAAUCAGGCUAGGUCUGACUUGUCGCCUGCUUUUGUAAAUAAAGUUUUAUUGGCUCACAGACACACU